CCAGAUGGAAAAGAUUUUAUCAAUCUUCACAAGCAUAGAUCUUUCUAACAACCUGUUUGAAGGGAAAAUUCCAAAGGUAUUUGGACAGUUCAAGUUACUCAGAUUACUUAACUUGUCCCAUAAUAGCUUAACUCAUAAAAUACCUUUAUCAUUGAAAAAUUUGUCACAACUUGAAGCAUUAGAUCUCUCUUCCAACCAGCUCAUCGGAAAGAUUCCUCUACAAUUGACAAGUCUAACAUUUCUUUCAGUGUUAAACUUGUCUUACAACCAUCUUGUGGGACGCAUACCUCAAGGAAAUCAAUUUGACACAUUUCAGAAUGAUUCCUACAUUGGAAAUUUGGGCUUGUGUGGAUCACCACUGUCAAACAAAUGUGACAAUGAUGCGGCACCACCAACGAUAGACGAAGAAGAAAGCAAUGCUUCAAACUGGUUUGAUUGGAAAAUUGCUUUGAUGGGCUACGGAUCUGGAUUUGUAAUUGGCAUAUCUAUUGCCAACAUUGUGUUCUCAAUAGGAAAACCUCAAUUUUUUGUGCGGUUGAUUGAAAGAGGGUGUCCAAGAAAUGUGAAAAGGCUGAAUAGAGGACGUAGAAGAAGAACAAAUUAGCAUUUGAAAGUUGUUCCUCAAUAUUACUCUGAAGAGUUGAAGAGUAAGAUGCUAUACUAAUGUCUCCAAGAAAACUUCAAGCUUUUGUAUUAAUGGUAGAUUUUUAUUUUAGUAGCUAUUCAAUAAGCAACUCUGUUUCUGUUCCUGGCAAUUAUGCAAGAGCUUGCCGGUAUAGUUCUUGUUUAUUUUUGUAAGUAUUUGACAAACUAUGAACAUUUGUGCUCUCAUUUA